rnacentral:rRNA from 1 species
CCUACGGGAGGCAGCAGUGGGGAAUAUUGCACAAUGGGGUAAACCCUGAUGCAGCGACGCCGCGUGAGUGAAGACGUAUUUCGGUAUGUAAAGCUCUAUCAGCAGGGAAGAAAAUGACGGUACCUUACUAAGAAGCCCCGGCUAACUACGUGCCAGCAGCCGCGGUAAUACGUAGGGGGAAAGCGUUAUCCGGAUUUCCUGGGUGUAAAGGGAGCGUAGACUGCCAGAGAAUUCAGAAGUGAAAGCCCAGGGCGCAACCCUGGGACUGCUUUUGAAACUGCCGGGCUGGAGUGCAGGAGAGGUAAGCGGAAUUCCUAGUGUAGCGGUGAAAUGCGUAGAUAUUAGGAGGAACACCAGGGGCGAAGGCGGCUUACUGGACUGUAACUGACGUUGAGGCUCGAAAGCGUGGGGAGCAAACAGGAUUAGAUACCCCUGUAGUC